rnacentral:rRNA from 1 species
GAUGAACGCUAGCUACAGGCUUAACACAUGCAAGUCGAGGGGCAGCAUGAAUAUUGGCUUGCCAAUAUUUGAUGGCGACCGGCGCACGGGUGAGUAACACGUAUCCAACCUUCCGGUUACUCGGGGAUAGGCUUUCGAAAGAAAGAUUAAUACCCGAUGUUGUGUAUCUUUCUCCUGAAAGAUACGCCAAAGGAUUCCGGUAACCGAUGGGGAUGCGUUCCAUUAGGCAGUUGGCGGGGUAACGGCCCACCAAACCUUCGAUGGAUAGGGGUUCUGAGAGGAAGGUCCCCCACAUUGGAACUGAGACACGGUCCAAACUCCUACGGGAGGCAGCAGUGAGGAAUAUUGGUCAAUGGACGGAAGUCUGAACCAGCCAAGUAGCGUGAAGGAUGACUGCCCUCUGGGUUGUAAACUUCUUUUAUACGGGAAUAACAUGAGGUACGCGUACCUUAUUGCAUGUACCGUUAUGAAUAAGCAUCGGCUAACUCCGUGCCAGCAGCCGCGGUAAUACGGAGGAUGCGAGCGUUAUCCGGAUUUAUUGGGUUUAAAGGGAGCGUAGGUGGGAUAUUAAGUCAGCUGUGAAAGUUUGGGGCUCAACCUUAAAAUUGCAGUUGAUACUGGUUUCCUUGAGUACGGUACAGGUGGGCGGAAUUCGUGGUGUAGCGGUGAAAUGCUUAGAUAUCACGAAGAACUCCGAUCGCGAAGGCAGCUCACCGGGCCGGAACUGACACUGAUGCUCGAAAGUGCGGGUAUCAAACAGGAUUAGAUACCCUGGUAGUCCGCACAGUAAACGAUGAAUACUCGCUGUUUGCGAUACACAGUAAGCGGCCAAGCGAAAGCGUUAAGUAUUCCACCUGGGGAGUACGCCGGCAACGGUGAAACUCAAAGGAAUUGACGGGGGCCCGCACAAGCGGAGGAACAUGUGGUUUAAUUCGAUGAUACGCGAGGAACCUUACCCGGGCUUAAAUUGCGCUGGCUUUUACCGGAAACGGUAUUUUCUUCGGACCAGCGUGAAGGUGCUGCAUGGUUGUCGUCAGCUCGUGCCGUGAGGUGUCGGCUUAAGUGCCAUAACGAGCGCAACCCUUAUCUUUAGUUACUAACAGUUUUGCUGAGGACUCUAAAGAGACUGCCGUCGUAAGAUGCGAGGAAGGUGGGGAUGACGUCAAAUCAGCACGGCCCUUACGUCCGGGGCUACACACGUGUUACAAUGGGGAGCACAGCAGGUUGCUACACGGCGACGUGAUGCCAAUCCGUAAAACUCCUCUCAGUUCGGAUCGAAGUCUGCAACCCGACUUCGUGAAGCUGGAUUCGCUAGUAAUCGCGCAUCAGCCACGGCGCGGUGAAUACGUUCCCGGGCCUUGUACACACCGCCCGUCAAGCCAUGAAAGCCGGGGGUACCUGAAGUACGUAACCGCGAGGAUCGUCCUAGGGUAAACCUGGUGAUUGGGGCUAAGUCGUAACAAGGUAGCCGUACCGGAAGG